ACUUGUCAGUUCUUUUGUGCUGGUGUCGCCUCAGCAGUGGUGUUUGUUAAAGAAAGUCAUUGCAGCCUUAGAAUACUGUAAUCAAUAAAAUAAAUCUGAACUUACAAUGACAAAAGGUAACGUCAUGCCAACAAGCCCAGUGAAAACCAGAAUACCAUUAACAAGCUUCGGCCAUCUCAUCACAGAAGUUAAGAGACAACUCCUUGGGAUCGAGGGUCCAAACGCUCGUGAGCUAAAGGGAUGGAGGAAGCAUUUCAACAGCUACACUCUGCCAGGCCGGAGAAAUUGUGUUCUGGUAACCUAUGGGGCCAUUGCAACGGCAGCUGUCGUGUACAUGCUGAAGAAGAGCUGGAAAACCGAAAGCAAAGAGACGAGUCGCAGGGCCUGAAAGCAACCCCUGUCCUGUUGAAAUCGAGCCCCGUUGCCUUUGUCCCGCUGCGAGGCAUCGGGUGAAUAAAACUGUUGCCUUCUGUGUCGA